rnacentral:rRNA from 1 species
AGUGGCGAACGGGUGAGUAACACGUGAGCAACCUGUCCCAGAGUCCGGGAUAAGCCAGGGAAACCUGGUCUAAUACCGGAUGCCCUCAUCAGAUCUUCUGUUCUGAUGAGGAAAGUUUUUCGCUCUGGGAGGGGCUCGCGUCCUAUCAGCUUGUUGGUGGGGUAACGGCCUACCAAGGCUUCGACGGGUAGCUGGUCUGAGAGGAUGAUCAGCCACACUGGGACUGAGACACGGCCCAGACUCCUACGGGAGGCAGCAGUAGGGAAUCUUGCGCAAUGGGCGAAAGCCUGACGCAGCAACGCCGCGUGAGGGAUGACGGCUUUCGGGUUGUAAACCUCUUUCAGCAGGAACGAAAUUGACGGUACCUGCAGAAGAAGCUCCGGCCAACUACGUGCCAGCAGCCGCGGUAAUACGUAGGGAGCAAGCGUUGUCCGGAUUUAUUGGGCGUAAAGAGCUCGUAGGCGGCUUAGAAAGUCAGGUGUGAAACCUCCAGGCUCAACCUGGAGACGCCACUUGAUACUUCUAUGGCUUGAGUUCGGUAGGGGUAAGCGGAAUUCCUGGUGUAGCGGUGAAAUGCGCAGAUAUCAGGAGGAACACCGAUGGCGAAGGCAGCUUACUGGGCCGACACUGACGCUGAGGAGCGAAAGCGUGGGGAGCGAACAGGAUUAGAUACCCUGGUAGUCCACGC